GACGAACGCUGGCGGCGUGCUUAAUACAUGCAAGUCGAACGAUGAAUCUGUAGCUUGCGCUUGGGGCUUAGUGGCGAACGGAGGAGCAACACGUGGGGAAACUGCCCUGUACUCUGGCCUACACGGGGGAAAAAACGUCGGAUACAGGAUAUGAUCUUGGAUCACAUGAUCUGCGGCGGAGAAGUUGUUGGGUCUGGGAUGUUGCGGCGCUCUAUCAUCUUGUUGGGGAGGUAAAGGCUCACGAAGGCGUCGAGGGGUAGCCGGCCUGAGAGGGAGACCGGCCACACUGGGACUGAGACAGGGAGCAGACUCAUGCGAGCGGCAGCAGUGGGGAAUAGUGCACAAGGGGCGAAAGCCUGGUGCAGCAACGCCGCGUGCGGGAUGACGGCCUUCGGGUUGUAAACAGCUUUUAGUAGGGAAGAAGGGCUUCGGCUUGACGGUACCUGCAGAGAAAGGACCGGCUAACUACGUG
rnacentral:rRNA from 1 species